CCUGCGUUUGAGUAAAGUGAGGAAUUGAAGGAAGGAGCUAGAGAGCUAAUGCCUCCAGAAAAGCCAAGGCCAUGGUAUUUAUUCAAAGAAUUUCUGUAAUUGGCAAUUUUGUGAAACGAAAAAACUGUGGAAAUAGAUAAAGUUCACCCAAAUGAGAACAAGCAAAGACUAUUUAUUCAGGGCUUGCUAUGGCAAGGGAGUCAGCCACCAUCAUUUGUGUUUUAGUAGAGACUCAAAGGCAGGCAGAGUGGGAAAGCUUUAUAGCGGAAGAAAAGGAAGGCUUCAGAUGUGCCCUGAUUGGAGGCUGCUGGCAUGGGGGAGGCUGGAGGCAGGCAAAUUAUAAGUAGGGCAUCCUAUGUGAUUGGUUAUGGGUGCCUAUUUGGCUUUCUCCAGAUGGUCCUAAGUUCAAAGCAGGUACAAAUAUGGAGGUUAUCAGUUAUCAAUCAAGUCCUGAUUAUUUGGGACCAGUUGCUACAGAAAUUGUGGUUUGGCUUCCUGGACUGGUUGCUGUAGAUUGUGGGUCAGAGAUGUUUUUAUAUUUGAUCUGGCUGUUGUCUGUUUAUAUAUUUAGUCUCUUGGAGUCAAAGGCUGGGUAGUGAUAUCACUAACUAGCUAAAAAAGCUGAGUCCUAAGGCAGCCAUAGGAAGAAAAGUGAGCCGAGCAUAGGAAAAUGAGAACUAGGAAGAAAGAAUGGCAGAAGAAGAGAAAAUUAAAGAAAUAGGAGCGAGUAAGUGUGAACUGCAGUUUGGGAAUAAGGUAGAGGUGGGAAAAGAAAAAACCAAGAGCAAACAGGUUAACACUUUUUUCUGUCUCUCUUCUGAAAGUGGGUAUUCCCAUAUGCAAUAAUGGACUUAACACAGCAGGCUCAUGCAAUUUUGAACAAAUUAAGAAAUAUUCAAUUAAGUGGAAUAUCAAAUACACAGGAUAGCUGGUUUAAUGAGAUAUGAAAUCCCUUUGCUAUUUUAGUUGGUAUGUUUUAACGUUGUGAGCCAUUGUUUGUGCAGUAGGGCUAUUCUUUCAAAACUAGAUUAAACUAUCUUUUUUUCAGGUCAGCCUUGGAGAUCAAAAUGUCUAUAUUCAAAGGGCAUCCGGGCAAGGGAACAAGCACAUCUAUCAUGGAGCAUUCAAUAGUCCUUUACUGUCUUUUGCAUCAGAUCUUCUGCCCAGACUUCCCACAGACUGCUCUGGUCCUGCCGAUCUACAUCAUUCUCUGUUCCUGAGCCCAUCUGUGCUGUGUUGGCAGCUGAGCAUUUGCAUAGUUCACUGGAUCACAUCAUGUUCGGACAGAGCUCCCUGAAGCCACAACUCAGGCCCUCUGUGAGAGAUGGCGACUGCCCUGCUUCUCCCAGCAACUUGGAUCCAUGGCUGGUAAAGCCAGCCUCAGGUGAAUGUGGAAUGAAAAUCAUACAUUUCUGAUUAGACCUUGAAAUAGUCCACAAGGUUUAUUCAUUCAAUAAAUACUGAAGACCUAGUAUGUGCCAGACACUAUUGGACAGCUUGCGUGCAUCAGUGUAUGAAACAAAAAUCCUUGUUUCCACAAAGCUGACGAUCUUGGAGUCUCUGUGGUUUUUUAAACUAUUUUUAUUGUUGUUCUUACGAUGGCAGAGAGGUUUUUUUCAUCUUAUUAUUUAUUUAAUUCACAGAUUCUGUGUAUCCAGAUGUUUUAGGUUGCAAAAUGACACUGAUACGAUGGAAAAGAAGACACCAAGUACUAAAGUUUCUUUGUAAUUAAUAACAAACUGUAAUAUAUAUCUUAAUAUAAAAAUUCUGGACUUUCUCAAAGAUUUUAUUGAAUUCAGAUGUCCUUAUAAUGUAAUUAAAUAACUAUUUA